rnacentral:rRNA from 1 species
AACGAACGCUGGCGGCAGGCUUAACACAUUCAAGUCGAACGCCCCGCAAGGGGAGUGGCAGACGGGUGAGUAACGCGUGGGAACAUACCCUUUCCUGCGGAAUAGCUCUGGGAAACUGGAAUUAAUACAGCAUACGCCCUACGGGGGAAAGAUUUAUCGGGGAAGGAUUGGCCCGCGUUGGAUUAGCUAGUUGGUGGGGUAAAGGCCUACCAAGGCGACGAUCCAUAGCUGGUCUUAGAGGAUGAUCAGCCACAUUGGGACUGAGACACGGCCCAAACUCCCACGGGAGGCAGCAGUGGGGAAUAUUGGACAAUGGGCGCAAGCCUGAUCCAGCCAUGCCGCGUGAGUGAUGAAGGCCUUAGGGUUGUAAAGCUCUUUCACCGAUGAAGAUAAUGACGGUAGUCGGAGAAGAAGCCCCAGCUAACUUCGUGCCAGCAGCCGCGGUAACAC